rnacentral:rRNA from 1 species
GAUGAACGCUGACAGAAUGCUUAACACAUGCAAGUCGAUGGGGAAGUGGUGCUUGCACCCUGGUAACCAUGGCGGACGGGUGAGUAACGCGUAAGGAACUUGCCUGCUGGACUGGGAUAACAGCAGGAAACUGCUGAUAAUACCGGAUAAGGUCAUUACGCUGCAUAGCUUAGUGAUGAAAGGAGACGCCUGCGGAGAGCCUUGCGUCCUAUUAGCUAGUUGGGGGGGUAACGGUCCACCAAGGCGGAGAUAGGUAGCCGGCCUGAGAGGGUGGACGGCCACAAGGGGACUGAGAGACGGCCCUUACUCCUACGGGAGGCAGCAGUGGGGAAUAUUGGACAAUGGGGGCAACCCUGAUCCAGAAAUUCUGUGUGCACGAAGACGGUUUUCGGAGUGUAAAGUGCUUUCAGCAGGGAAGAAGGAAGUGACGGUACCUGCAGAAGAAGCGACGGCUAAAUACGUG